rnacentral:lncRNA from 1 species
UUCUGGAGGCUGAGGAGCCCCAGGUUGAGGGGCUUCAUCUGGUGAGAGCCUUCUUGCUGGUGGAGACUCUGAAGAGUCCCGAAGUGGUGUGGGGAAACAUAUGAGCUCAGAGAUCCCAAGAGGCAAAGCGGGGAAAGUUUUAGAAAUCAUUUCACUCUGGAAAGCUUUCAGAUCACAGAUUCCUGCUCAUAAGUGGAUAAAUGAUGCAGUAAAAUUGAACAAACACAGCUCGUCCUACAUUCUGAAGAUGGGGCACAUUUAUCAGAAGAGAAAAACUGCCAGAGAGAAUUCACAUCAGUGCAGACCGAGAGUCUCAGAUGGCUAAGAGAUGUGCCUGACAACUUUUCAGAAAUAAGACUAUUAAAAGAAGGUCAGCUUGGAGUCUUACUGCGAAGAAUUAUAAACAGGCACGUGGAUUAUAAAUAGGGAGUUGGCAUGGUGGUUAAAUUUUUCUAAAACAGUCAUAUUAAUGUGUUCAAAAAUCCACUGCUGAGUCUCAGAGAGAGGGUCACAUCU